rnacentral:rRNA from 1 species
GAAGGAGAAGUCGUAACAAGGUUUCCGUAGGUGAACCUGCGGAAGGAUCAUUGUUGAGUUAUCAGUACGAAUGACCAAUGAACUACUUCUUGAAUGAUGUCGUCCUGCUUAUGAAUAAUGAUCGUCGUGGAGUAUCUUCCCUUUGAUUAUUGUUUCAUUUGCUGGAUGGGCAUGUAGCCAUCCCUUCUCUUGUUUUAUGGCUGAGGGUUUGGCAAAUAAUGAUCAUGGGCACGGCAUGUGUCAAGGAUAUAAUUUGUUCUCGUGCGUGUAUGAUGUAUGCAUAUACUUUGCAGAUAAUCAAAAAUAUGCACGUGGUGUCACUGUAGUGGCAUUUUACUGUAAUAGAGAUAUGACUCUCGACAACGGAUAUCUAGGCUCUUGCAUCGAUGAAGAACGUAGCAAAAUGCGAUACGUGGUGUGAAUUGCAGAAUCCCGUGAACCAUCGAGUAUUUGAACGCAAGUUGCGCCCGAGACCUCUUGGUUGCGGGCACGUCUGCUUGGGCGUCACAUCUUAUGUUGCUCCAUCCCACCAGUCACAUGUGAUGUGUUAGAUGGAAGCUAAUUUUGGCUCACCGUGGCUUAUAGUUGCGGUGAGCUUAAGUAUGAGACGCUGAUGGAGCGCAUGAGUGCACGACACAUGGUGGGCAUAAGAAUAUAUUUCUGAUGUGGCCGAUGUCGUUCUCUCCUUAGCAUAUGUGUGCUCACACAAGCGUGUUAAAUUUGAAUGCUGCCAUUGUGUGGUUUUCUUCCUUUGUAUUGGUGACCCCAGGUCAGACGGGACUACCCGCUGAGUUUAAGCAUAUC